CAACUGUUAAAUGGGACAAGAAUAUCAAGCUUACCUGCCUCCCUGGCAGCCUUUUAAAACCUUGAGUCCUUUACCUCCAUGGCUCAUGCUCAUCCUCCUAGAGGUUAAUGGGCUCUCCAUAUCACUUUUCUUUUUUAUUUUGAUAAUCUAAAAGAAUUUCUGCCAGCCAACUCUGGCUACCCAGAGGGCCAGGAAAUAGCAAGGUUAGUUCCUGGUUGUCUGAAACCACAGAUAUAUUAUGAUUCUAGACAUAACAUUUGUGUUUGGAUCUAGUUUUUGCCAAGGGAGAAUCAAAUGAUAGCUCACCAUUCAAGACCAAUGAAUGAAGUUCCUCCUGAAUGCCUGGAGCACUGUAUGUAAGAAGUGUUUUGAGUUCCACCUCACCCUGGAAAGAAUGGCUGCUAUCAAGAAAUCAACCAAUAACAAAUGCUGGCGGGCUGUGGGGAAAGAGGAACCCUGCUCCACUGCUGCUGGGAGUGUGGACUGGUGCGACCACUGUGGAAAUACUGUUGGGUUCUUGGAAGAAGCUAA
rnacentral:lncRNA from 1 species